rnacentral:rRNA from 1 species
ACGUCAAAUCAUCACGGCCCUUAUGUCCAGGGCUACACACGUGCUACAAUGGCCGGUACAAAGCGUUGCAAACCUGCGAAGGGGAGCCAAUCGCAAAAAACCGGUCUCAGUUCAGAUUGCAGUCUGCAACUCGACUGCAUGAAGCUGGAAUCGCUAGUAAUCGUGGAUCAGAACGCCACGGUGAAUACGUUCCCGGGCCUU